GUGCUCGCUUCAGCAGCAUAUACACUAAAAUUGGAAUGAUACAGAGAAGAUUGGCAUGGCCCCUGUGCAAGGAUGACAUGCAAAUUCAUGAAGCGUUCCAUAUUUUU
rnacentral:snRNA from 1 species